rnacentral:rRNA from 1 species
AAUCAACGCUGGCGGCGUGCCUCAGACAUGCAAGUCGAACGCGAAAGUUUCCUUCGGGGAACGAGUAGAGUGGCGCACGGGUGAGUAACACGUAGGUAAUCUACCUCCGAGUGGGGAAUAACAGCCGGAAACGGCUGCUAAUACCGCAUAAUAUCUUCGGAUCAAAGCUUAAAGUGCUUGGAGAGGAGCCUGCGGCAGAUUAGCUAGUUGGUAAGGUAAAGGCUUACCAAGGCGACGAUCUGUAUCCGGUCUAAGAGGACGGUCGGACACACUGACACUGAAUAACGGGUCAGACUCCUACGGGAGGCAGCAGUCGGGAAUUUUGGGCAAUGGGCGCAAGCCUGACCCAGCAACGCCGCGUGAAGGAUGAAGUCCUUCGG